rnacentral:rRNA from 1 species
AUUGAACGCUGGCGGCAGGCCUAACACAUGCAAGUCGAACGAGUGGCGGACGGGUGAGUAAUGUCUGGGAAACUGCCUGGUGGAGGGGGAUAACUACCGGGAACGGUAGCUAAUUCCGCAUACCAUCAGCUGUGCCCAGAUGGCAUUAGCUUGUUGGUGGGGUAACGGCUCACAAAGGCGCCGAUCCCUAGCUGGUCUGAGAGGAUGACAAGCCACACGGGAACUGAGACACGGUCCAGAAUCCUACGGGAGGCAGCAUGGGGGAAUAUUGCACAAGUGGCGCAAGCCUGAUGCAGCCAUGCCGAGUGUAGGAAGAAGGCCUUCGGGUUGUAAAGUACUUUCAGCGGGGAGGCGUUACCCGCAGAAGAAGCACCGGCUAACUCCGUGCCAGCAGCCGCGGUAAUAC